UCUUUUUUUUUCUGGACCACCCUCACUCCAUUCAAAAGCAAUAUGCUUCCGUCUUUGUUGUUGCUCAACUGCGGCUGCCACACACAUACGAGUGGCACAUGUCUUCUUUUUGUUUUAUUCAACGCAUCCACUCUCUGCCACACAACAUGAAUGAAAGCCCACCCUACCCCCGGCCCAUCUCGUGCCAGCGGAGCAGCGGUAGGCGCGCGCGACAGUAAUGCACCGACUCGGCCUGGAACUCUACCUACUGCGGCCGCCUCGCAGGUUGCCCCAGAGCCGCUCCUCCCAGCAUGCUGGUCGAUACCGAUGGUGUAUCUCUCUCUGGGGCGGCUGAGGCCUCCCACACCAGUUGGCAGUGUGAGCGCGGGGGCGGGGGUAACAGGUACGUUCGAGUUGCGCGGACACACUCUGCCUAAUCCUAUGGAUGGCGCACGCGUGUUCGCUGUCGCGGGCCGCUUGGAUACAAUGCCAUCCAGGCCCUGACUGCGGCCGAUAGCUCUG
rnacentral:misc_RNA from 1 species